rnacentral:misc_RNA from 1 species
UCCGAGUUGACCCCGGCAGUCUCCUAUGAGUCCCCACCAUCACGUGCUGGCAACAUAGGACGAGGGUUGCGCUCGUUGCGGGACUUAACCCAACAUCUCACGACACGAGCUGACGACAACCAUGCACCACCUGUGCACGACCCUUACGGACCCACCAUCUCUGGAGGAUUUCCGUGCAUGUCAAGCCUAGGUAAGGUUCUUCGCGUUGCAUCGAAUUAAUCCGCAUGCUCCGCCGCUUGUGCGGGCCCCCGUCAAUUCCUUUGAGUUUUAGCCUUGCGGCCGUACUCCCCAGGCGGGGCGCUUAAUGCGUUAGCUGCGGCACGGAACUCGUGGAAUGGACCCCACAACUAGUUCCCAACGUUUACGGGGUGGACUAC